AAAAUCAAAGUUUCAGACUCUUUCCUCGAACCGUCUUUCCUUAACCUUCUUCACUUUUCUCUAUUCUCUAAGCUUCUUCCCCAUCUUUACUCCUCUUCAUGCUUCUCCUUCAAUAAGACGUGAACUUCUUGGGCCCUCCUUCGAGCUUUUUCUUCGUUUUCAUCAGUGCGUGCGUGUGGCUUUUGCAACCAUCGAACGUUUGUCCUACCGAUUCAGUCGAUCUACAUCUCUAGUUAGGGCUCCAACCUCUUUUCACCAUUUUCUUCAUUUUCAACCGAUUAAAUCCUCUUUUCUAUCGAUUAAAAGCCUUUCCACCGAUUGAUUCUUCGAUUUAGGUUUCCUUCGUCAACCUAGGGUUUUAGGGUUCUUCGCGUCGAAUCGUCUCCGUUUUUGGAGUAUUCCUGGAUUCUCAUGGUUUGGAAGAAAUUGCACACAAAUGCUAUUCAGGAGAACAACUGAAAGAUGCGUUGUCCAGCUGGAGCCAUGCUUUCGCCGUAACUGCAGGGGAUAAGAGCUAUCGAAGGAUUGUCCCUGAAACUGCAUUCCAGCAUUAGAGAUUGCUUGGAAGCUCGUUCUUUCAAGAAAAUGAAGAGACUAAGACUCCUACAACUUGAUCAUGUACAACUUAGUGGAGAUUAUGGGUAUUUCAAGCAAUUGGUGAUUGGUGCUGUCAGAGGAUUUCUAAGACCAUAUUCUCUUGUAAGUAGUGAAAAUUGGGUUGCUCUGUUUGCAUCAAUGGUUAAUGGUCUGAUAAUUGGGUUGCUCUGUUUGCAUCAAUGCUUAAUGGUCCUGUUCAGUUUUUUAUUAUAACCACUUAUUAGUUAUGAUUGCAUUAAUGUUUGCAUCUGAUAUUCUUUCAUGACUAAUUUUAGUUCAUAUCUUGUAAUAUACCUGUAAUGAAAUGAAAUAAAAACCAGAGAAUAAGAUUUUUCA